ensembl:lncRNA
CUGUUUGUAUGAAAUUUGUUAAAAUGAUUUGGAGACGGUUUCCCUAAACAGUUUUGCCAGUCAUUUUAUUCCACAAGUUUUGCAGUUUUCUCUAGCAUAGAGAGGCAGUUCUGAAAUAUUUUUUUGGAUGAUGUAUAUGAUAGACACAUUUGGAAACAGAAUUUUCUCUUUUUUCUUUUUACUAAUGCAAGCUUUACUAUACUUACAGUUUCCACCUGAAGAACUUAGUAAACUGACAUAUGGACCAAAAAAUUUUUAUUGGAGGGUUUGUGAUUCCAAAAUGGAUCAAAUGGAUGGGCCCCGUGAGGGUGAACACUGCAGAGUCAGAGGCAUAAAAUGUCAUAAAUACCCUCAAAAUAUGGUUUGAGCCUCCAACUUGAGGAGUUACAAGAAACAUAACUUAGAAAGAGACAGAUGCUGCUACAAAGAGACCAAUCAACAACUGCUCAGCAGAGAUACAGAUCUGAAGCACAGAAGUGCAAUAGACACUCCUCAUGCCUUCGCCAGGAGCAUGGAAUUCUUCCCAGAGUCACAGAAGAUGGCACAGCCUGGGGACAAUCGGGAAUCACCUGGAGGAUGGCAGAAAGGAUUUAAGGCAGCUCAUAAAUAUGUGCGAGACCUAUUACUCCUACGCAUGUGGCCAUUCAAGCGUUUUGAUGAUUGUACAUUUUAAAGCUAAAUGCAAAGACCUCUUUAUAAUUAGUUUGUGUGUGCUUCUGAGGGAAGUUACGGUAAUCAUUACUUUUGUUGUUAUUAUUUCAUUGUAUCUAAUGAACAAUGGUAAUAAAUCCCGUGGGAACCAACCAUAGUAUAACAUAUAUAUUUUGAAAACCGUUAGAUAUAAAAAUUCUAAUUGACUUGGAGAAGUUUCAUUCAUUUCAUUUUUAUUUAGUAGGAUAUUUCAUUGUCCUUGGCUUAAGCCUUUCUUUGCUUUAGAUGAGGUUAAGGAAAGACAAAAAUCUAACUGUGAUAAACACAGUCUGAAUUUCAUUAUUAACACUUUCAUAUAAAGACAGAUUAAUAGCCAAAGUAGAUGCUGGUCAUAAUGAAUGACUUUUGAUUCACUGUUUUCCUGAGUUAUUUUUACUUUGGUAGGCAUGUUAUUUUGGCUUAAAAAUAAAGUGCUAUUAGUAAUCAAGGAUGUGAGUUCAUAAAGAGUAAGUUAAAUUUUAAACCAUGGUUUAUUUGAGAUUUUGCUUUGUCUGGGAAAGGAUUUAAACCUCAGCAAGAAUGAUUUAGGGGUUAGAAAAACAAAUCUUUGAUAGGGAGAGUGUAACAUGUUGGAAUGGGUUGUCUUCUCAAUGUUUUUUAAUGAUUUGGCAGGCAUCUUGUCAAAUGAGCUGGGGUUUUAUUGAAUCUGAUAAUGGUAAUAUUAGGCUCCAAAUGAGUUUGACAGGGUGCCCAAAUGGCUGGAUCUCACAGGAUAAAGUUUAAUACAAAUAAGCGAUAAACACAUAGCCCAUUACCUGGAUUCAGAAAAGCAACUGGAAAAAUAGUUUACAUUGAAAAACAAUGAAAAACAGUGGGCUAGGGCUUUUAAAUAACAGUGAGUUCAAUAUAAGUCAAGAGAGUGGUGGGAUGCUAUAAGUCUAAUAGGAUUUAGAAUCAAUUUUGGAGCAAGCUUGCCAGACUGAGGAAGAUAUAACCCCAAAUCUACAUUCCAUAGUGGGCAAAACUUUUUUUUUUAAAAAAUACUGACUUUAUAUCUAGAUACCACACCUUAAAAGCAUACUUUUAAAAACAAAAAAAUGUACUUGAUGAGAAGAUAUAAAACCAUGUCAAAAACAAAACAGGAAGGAAAACUACAGGAAUAGAAGAUGUUUUACCCAGAGAAAAGAAGAGCUUCAUUGUUAAAGAGGAAAAGGUUUAUUCUCUCUGAUGUUGAAUUUCUUUUCUUUUUUUUUUUUAUUAUUACACUUUAAGUUCUAGGGUACAUGUGCAUAAUGUGCAGGUUUGUUACAUAUGUAUACUUGUGCCAUGUUGGUGUGCUGCACCCAUCAACUCGUCAGCACCCAUCAACUCGUCAUUUACAUCAGGUAUAACUCCCAAUGCAAUCCCUCCCCCCUCCCCCCUCCUCCCUCCCCAUGAUAGGCCCCAGUGUGUGAUGUUCCCCUUCCCGAGUCCAAGUGAUCUCCCUGUUCAGUUCCCACCUAUGAGUGAGAACAUGCAGUGUUUGGUUUUCUGGUCUUGCGAUAGUUUGCUGAGAAUGAUGGUUUCCAGCUGCAUCCAUGUCCCUACAAAGGAAACAAACUCAUCCUUUUUUAUAGCUGCAUAGUAUUCCAUGGUGUAUAUGUGCCACAUUUUCUUAAUCCAGUCUGUCACUGAUGGACAUUUGGGUUGAUUCCAAGUCUUUGCUAUUGUGAAUAGUGCCGCAAUGAACAUACAUGUGCAUGUGUCUUUAUAGCAGCAUGAUUUAUAAUCCUUUGGGUAUAUACCCAGUAAUGGGAUGGCUGGGUCAUAUGGUACUUCUAGUUCUAGAUCCUUGAGGAAUCGCCAUACUAUUUUCCAUAAUGGUUGAACUAGUUUACAAUCCCACCAACAGUGUAAAAGUGUUCCUAUUUCUCCACAUACUCUCCAGCACCUGUUUCCUGACUUUUUAAUGAUUGCCGUUCUAACUGAUGUGAGAUGGUAUCUCAUUGUGGUUUUGAUUUGCAUUUCUCUGAUGGCCAGUGAUGAUGAGCAUUUUUUCAUUUGUCUGUUGGCUGUAUGCAUGUCUUCUUUUGAGAAAUGUCUGUUCAUAUACCUUGCCCACUUUUUGAUGGGGUUGUUUGUUUUUUUUCUUGUAAAUUUGUUUGAGUUCUUUGUAAGUUCUGGAUAUUAGCCCUUUGUCAGAUAAGUAUAUUGCAAAAAUUUUCUCCCAUUCUAUAGGUUGCCUGUUCACUCUGAUGGUAGUCUCUUUUGCUGUGCAGAAGCUCUUUAGUUUAAUUAGAUCCC